CUGCACUGUAAAGUGACUGGCUGGCCUUUUCCAUUGGCUUUCCAAUCUCAUUCCGGUGCUAGAUAAACCUCAGUUUGCAGAAGGGCUGGGCUAGAUAACUGGCUCCUCCCUUUCGAAGGCUGAGAACAAGC